UUUAUGUCUGCCACACAUCUCUCUGAAGAACUCACAGCAUUGACGGCUUCAGCAACGCUGUGCCACUCCGUGGAUUUUCUCUUAUUUGUUUUGCAAAAGCACUUCAUUUCAUUUCUCCACCUCACCCACAAGUACCUCAAUUUCUGCUCUGGUGAAAUUGCGCUUCCUUGAUCUGCGGUCGCCAUCAUUAAUGGUGAAACACUGCAACGAGCUCGCUUAUGUAUGCAGUGAUCCCUCGUUUAUCGCGGUAGAUGCGUUCCAGACCUGGCCGCGAUAGGUGAAAAUCUGCGAAAUAGGGACUCCCAGUAUGCCCCUCGCGGGGAUUCCCUCCACGUCGCACCUACGUCACAAACCGCGGCUAUAAACGGAAGUCGCCUUUCCAGCUCACCACUCAGUCAUUGUUUCUUCAGAUUCUUGAUCAGAGUUUCCAACUUACCGAUCAAUCCAACGAACUAUCAGCUCAUAGUAAGUUAUCUUACUUACUUCUGGAAAGCCCGGCAUUUCCGUGUCACUUCGUUGACGCUCGAACGCUUGGGGGUUUCCUAGAUUAAUCGUGAGCCGGCGUUUCACCGACGCUAUCACUUCCGUGUCUGUGAAACCACGCGCUCCCUACAAGUUCAACUCCCGAAUCCAGCCGACCAGUCUGACAAACAGUACUAUAUUGAAUUAUAGUAUGAUCACAUUCUCCUUUUGUGGGUAAAACUCAAGAAAAAAAUUUUUUUACUUGGUUUUUUAUAGUUUUAUUGCAAAAAGUGCAUUUUAUGAUGAAAUUGAUGAAAAACAAACCAGGAAUUUCUUGAUAUUUCGCAUAGAAAAAUACCGCGAAUCGGCGAAUUUCCCUUGAAUAAGGCUCCAAAAUAAAAUCCGCGAAGUCGUGAAUCCGCGAUAAACGAACCGCGAAGUAGCGAGGGAUCACUGUAUACAUGAGAUCCACAAGGUACUAUAGUAUUUGUCAUUUAUGGCAGAAAGUGGGCCUGUUGAGGGCGGGAUGUGAUCCAGAAACAGCUGAGCACAUUUCCUGAUAGUUUGUGAUUUAUAAAGCAGAGAUUGCGUUGUGCGUUCUCCAUGUUUUGUAGGUCACAAACGUACUUGGCGUAAGUACGUUCCUUUUGCUGAGCUAAAGUACGGUUUUAGUAAAUAUUCUACGCAAUGUUUGACGAAUGAGACCCCAGAUCCUUAAGCCUAGUUUUGCGUAUGGUUCGGUACAGAGACAUGCAAUACUAUUAUCCGUGAUUGCGAGGGCUCUCCAAAAUGCUUACAAGAACGGAUGGAGUUGAGCCCGCUUUUCUAAACAUUCGUCCAAUGAGAUGGAGAAUGCAAGCUUGUGAUUGGUCAGGACGCCGCUUCCUUUAAAAUCUUCAACAGCACUGCCACUGCUCCGUCAAACAAACAAAGAGACUUGACAAUAUUUAGCGGCAGACACGGAGCAGCCUGAAGAAUACUUUGCAGAUGAACUCUAAAGAUAUUGUGACGCCACAGGAAAUGAGUCACUAGAGAGAAAAGCUUUAUUGCAUACCUCAAGUGUCAAACCUGGCUUGACAAUGAGGAGCAGCUCAUUAACAACUCUUGCAAUCACAAACUUGGAGUUAACAAUCUGAUGUCAGGCAGGUCAUUCUCAUGCACCCCCUUCUCUAUCGUGAUGAUGAACAAAUACCACCAAAUAUUGACACCAACAGAACUUGAAGGAUAACUAAAGAACAGGUCAGUGAAACACAAAUAUAUAAUGUCAAACCAUAAGAUAACACUGGAGAACUCUGCAACUAACACUUAAAGUGACAAGCACAGAAGCCCAAUAACAAAACAAUACUUGGAUUCAGAUGAAAGGGGCCGUUCCUCCCAACCACACCACUCCAGGUCUCAUUGCCGUUGCCCACAUGAGCAUUGAAGUCCCACAGGAGAACAGUGGAGUCACCAGAAAGAGCUCACUGUCUGCAUGCUGGCUUGUCCUCUGGCCAGUGGGAUGUUUGAGUAGCUGAGAAACCCACAACCUUCCCCUGCAGCACCUCCUCCUUCUCCUCCACCUUCUCCUGUUGCUCAUCUCUCACCUAAGGAUGCUUAGUUUGAGGUGAUGAUGGCAGACGAGAAGCUUCUGUCUGAAGCAGAGCAGCUGCAGCUCAUGACAUCUGUCAUUACAAGGUUGCAGUUCUUUUCCGGUGGUUUCCCGGGUGAGGUCCAGCUGUGAGAGCCUCUUGGAGGAAAAUUUAGUAAAGCUGGGUGUGGAGUUGUUCAACUGCCAGACAGAGAGGGGUGCCAGACCUUCCUGUGUAUACGUGAGCCACAAGGAGUGCACGUCUGACAUCUAGACAUGUGGAACACCACAUAGUGAGUAACAAAGCUGGAUCGGUUUGCUACACGACCCGUCAGCAGCUCUUUCUGGAGCAAGCAGAGCUCACGAUUAAAACCCUCAUCUACACGGAGGGACGGCUGUCGCUGAAGGACCUGACUGCUGCUUCUCUGGACAAGACGGUGGAGGUCACGGGGCUCUGCAGGGGAGCAGGUGGAGACCUCACUGAGGAACGACUGGGUCAGGCAAGGAUACCACUCUAAUGGACUAUAAUUAGAACUGAGCAAUAUGGCCUCAAAUUAAUAUCACGUUGAAAGUUAUUGUUUACAUCCUGGUAACUGCUCACUUCCACACAAGCUGGAGGGCAAGAAGCCCAUCUCCGACCAUUAUCCAGAGCUGUAUUUCUGUGAUUUAAGCUAACAAAAUAAAACCUAGGCACUUAGAUAUUACUACUUUGUUCAUCUGCACAAAGAUGUGUUAGAUGAUCUUAAGAAUAAACAUCUGAAAGCUAACGGUGUUUAGCACAGAGCUUCCAGGUACGUUUGAAGUAGGGCUAAUGAACGGUGAGACGACAGUCCUCCUCAGAACCAUCACCUGGACAUUAAAGGUGUUCUACAUGUUGUGGGUUGGUGCAGAAGGAUCGCUGUGACAUCACUCGUCUUUAAAGACGAACAGAUACUUUGUUUAUUCUGAUGACUAACGUAAACAAAAUCAUGAAACAAACGACAUUGAAGGCUGGUAAUUACAACACAUUUUAUGUAAUUAUUGUAACAAGACCGCGGGUCACACAGAACUACACACCACACCGGGGGUUUCAUUUUCACACGUUUUUGUCUCAGAACUGGUCAGUAGCUCAGUUCUGCUCCUCGUUCCUGCGGUCACACAUAAUUAUAUAAAAAAGCACAUUAGUCAUUAGAUGACCAUAACCUGUUUGCAGUGUUGGGCAAGUUACUUCAAAACUGGAAUGCAUUAAUUAUUACUUGUUACCCUCAUUUUCAAGUAAUUCAUUACAUUACAAUAUUACUGAUUUUAAAAUGUAAGGCAUUACACUACUUUUGCAUUACUUUAAGUUACUUUCACCAAAACAACUUCACUAUGAAUCUGGUAAUCUGACGCUCAGUGAGCUCAUGACAUAUAUGUGGAAGGUGAUGUGGUGUCUAAGCUAGGGUUGCUGUUAAACACAGUCAGAUAUAAUAACAGUGCUUUAAAAUGAUUGUUUAUUAAAUAAAAGCAACAAAAAUCUGUAUUCUCAGCAUGCUGCCAUCUUAUAGGGCC